CGGACGGGUGAGUAAUGUCUGGGAAACUGCCUGAUGGAGGGGGAUAACUACUGGAAACGGUAGCUAAUACCGCAUAACGUCGCAAGACCAAAGAGGGGGACCUUAGGGCCUCUUGCCAUCGGAUGUGCCCAUAUGGGAUUAGCUUGUAGGUAAGGUAACGGCUUACCUAGGCGACGAUCCCUAGCUGGUCUGAGAGGAUGAUCAGCCACACUGGGACUGAGACACGGCCCAG
rnacentral:rRNA from 1 species